GCGUCACGCAAUGAUCUGUUGACCUUAUGGUCGCAAAGUCAUUC
rnacentral:sRNA from 1 species